UACGUAGGGUGCAAGCGUUGUCCGGAAUUAUUGGGCGUAAAGAGCUCGUAGGCGGUUUGUCGCGUCUGCUGUGAAAACCCGAGGCUCAACCUCGGGCCUGCAGUGGGUACGGGCAGACUAGAGUGCGGUAGGGGAGAUUGGAAUUCCUGGUGUAGCGGUGGAAUGCGCAGAUAUCAGGAGGAACACCAAUGGCGAAGGCAGAUCUCUGGGCCGUAACUGACGCUGAGGAGCGAAAGUGUGGGGAGCGAACAGG
rnacentral:rRNA from 1 species